rnacentral:lncRNA from 1 species
AUUUUGUACGGUUGUUGUGUGACCCUCAGGGGAAGUAUGGGACACACUGAAAAGCACACGUAGAAAGGCUUACAGCAACCCAAGGACUUUCUUCAUUCAGAGCCAUCCCCCAGCACUAAACUUUCUCUGGUGGCCACUGGGACAGUGCUGCCUUGCAUGAGGACCCUGCUGUUCCAGUACCUACAGGUCAAAUGAAAUCAAGGCUUUGACUUGGGUCCCCUUAGGCUGCACUUGCAGGAG